UAUGGGAUAUGAUGCUAAUAUACAGACAGAUUGUCAAAGGCACAAAAUGCUGAUUAUCUGUAUUUGCACGUCAGUCUGACCCAAA
rnacentral:snoRNA from 1 species